GGAGGGAUCAUUACCGAGUUUACAACUCCCAAACCCAAUGUGAACGUUACCAAACUGUUGCCUCGGCGGGGUCACGCCCCGGGUGCGUCGCAGCCCCGGAACCAGGCGCCCGCCGGAGGAACCAACCAAACUCUUUCUGUAGUCCCCUCGCGGACGUAUUUCUUUACAGCUCUGAGCAAAAAUUCAAAAUGAAUCAAAACUUUCAACAACGGAUCUCUUGGUUCUGGCAUCGAUGAAGAACGCAGCGAAAUGCGAUAAGUAAUGUGAAUUGCAGAAUUCAGUGAAUCAUCGAAUCUUUGAACGCACAUUGCGCCCGCCAGUAUUCUGGCGGGCAUGCCUGUCCGAGCGUCAUUUCAACCCUCGAACCCCUCCGGGGGAUCGGCGUUGGGGAUCGGGACCCCUCACACGGGUGCCGGCCCCUAAAUACAGUGGCGGUCUCGCCGCAGCCUCUCCUGCGCAGUAGUUUGCACAACUCGCACCGGGAGCGCGGCGCGUCCACGUCCGUAAAACACCCAACUUUCUGAAAUGUUGACCUCGGAUCAGGUAGGAAUACCCGCUGAACUUAAGCAUAU
rnacentral:rRNA from 1 species